GAUGAUGCAUAGCCGAGUUGAGAGACUGAUCGGCCACAUUGGGACUGAGACACGGCCCAAACUACCUACGGGAGGGCAGCAGUAGGGAAUCUUCCACAAUGGACGCAAGUCUGAUGGAGCAACGCCGCGUGAGUGAAGAAGGGUUUCGGCUCGUAAAGCUCUGUUGUUGGUGAAGAAGGACAGGGUAGUAACUGACCUUUGUUUGACGGUAAUCAAUUAGAAAGUCACGGCUAACUACGUGCCAGCAGCCGCGGUAAU
rnacentral:rRNA from 1 species